rnacentral:lncRNA from 1 species
UUAGGUAGAGAUUAGAGAUAUAUUUUUUUCUCUCCACAUCUUUUGAAAUCUACAUCAGUCAAUCAUUAUUUGUUAGCAAUGGAAUACAAUUUUCUUAAGUAUGCAAAUGCUAAACAUAAAUAGAAGCUUUUGAAGACUAACAUAGAUACAGAGAAAUUUCAAUAUAUCUCCUACUCACCUAUGUCUUUGAUUUACGUACGGGUUUGGAAAGGAAGAAUAAUCUUGAGUUUUUGAGAAAACCCUACAUGUGAGCGAAUGAGGUUUGAUACAGAAACGCCAUAGUAAUAGAAAAGAGUGAGAUUCAUUGAGAUUAAGCCAGAACAAAAAAAUGAUAUGAAUCAAUAAUUUAUCUUGGAGAAGAAGCGUUGCAUGAAUCAGAUAAGGAGAAUAUAUAUGAUAGAAUAACCGUAGUUAUCCUGAGAAUGUUGGAUCGUGGAGGUGUCGACGGGGUGGAGUGAUUUUUUUUUUUUGUCUUAGAAUUGAAACACGUAAAAUGCAACGUUUAUACUUUUGCGUUCUUUAAUUCUUUUCUGUUUUAUUAUUUUAAUUUUUUUUAUUUCUUUGAUUAUGUGGUAAAGUUUUAUUGGUUGAGUUACUUGUGAUUUAGUAUAUAAAGGAUGUAUUUUUAAAUAAUUGGUAUAUGAUUACAUGUAUAUGUGUGUCAAAAAAAAAAAAAAUUCAACAUGUGUGACAAAUAUCUAUGUUUGUAAAUUAUACCAUAUAGAUUUUAAUCUCGGGGUCUGAUUGAGUGUAUUUUUAUUUUGGACGAUUUAAUUCAGAAUAGUUUAAAUACUUGAUGGUUUAUUAUAUACAAUCAUAAUUUUCUUUUAUUGUUGGUUAAGUAUGCUAUUGCAAUAUUUUUAAUUGCGUAUACACUA